CAGGACGAACGCUGGCGGCGUGCUUAACACAUGCAAGUCGAACGAUGAACCACUUCGGUGGGGAUUAGUGGCGAACGGGUGAGUAACACGUGGGCAAUCUGCCCUUCACUCUGGGACAAGCCCUGGAAACGGGGUCUAAUACCGGAUAACACUUCCACUCGCAUGGGUGGAGGUUAAAAGCUCCGGCGGUGAAGGAUGAGCCCGCGGCCUAUCAGCUUGUUGGUGAGGUAAUGGCUCACCAAGGCGACGACGGGUAGCCGGCCUGAGAGGGCGACCGGCCACACUGGGACUGAGACACGGCCCAGACUCCUACGGGAGGCAGCAGUGGGGAAUAUUGCACAAUGGGCGAAAGCCUGAUGCAGCGACGCCGCGUGAGGGAUGACGGCCUUCGGGUUGUAAACCUCUUUCAGCAGGGAAGAAGCGAAAGUGACGGUACCUGCAGAAGAAGCGCCGGCUAACUACGUGCCAGCAGCCGCGGUAAUACGUAGGGCGCAAGCGUUGUCCGGAAUUAUUGGGCGUAAAGAGCUCGUAGGCGGUCUGUCGCGUCGGAUGUGAAAGCCCGGGGCUUAACCCCGGGUCUGCAUUCGAUACGGGCAGACUAGAGUGUGGUAGGGGAGAUCGGAAUUCCUGGUGUAGCGGUGAAAUGCGCAGAUAUCAGGAGGAACACCGGUGGCGAAGGCGGAUCUCUGGGCCAUUACUGACGCUGAGGAGCGAAAGCGUGGGGAGCGAACAGGAUUAGAUACCCUGGUAGUCCACGCCGUAAACGGUGGGAACUAGGUGUUGGCGACAUUCCACGUCGUCGGUGC
rnacentral:rRNA from 1 species